rnacentral:sRNA from 1 species
AAGAUACUGAUAGAGGGAGACGUCCUCGAGCUCCUUCGACUGCAACAGGUCGGGAAAGCGCGAGUAGGGCAGGAAG